rnacentral:tRNA from 1 species
GGGGACAUAGCUCAGUGGCACAGCGACUGCUUGGCAAGCACGAGGUCCUGGGUACAAAUCCCAGUACUCCCC